rnacentral:pre_miRNA from 1 species
UGUAAACAUCCUUGACUGGAAGCUGUGUGGAGACCGGAUGGGCUUUCAGUCGGAUGUUUGCA